rnacentral:rRNA from 1 species
CCUACGGGAGGCAGCAGUGGGGAAUAUCGGACAAUGGGCGAAAGCCUGAUCCAGCCAUGCCGCGUGUGUGAAGAAGGCCUUCGGGUUGUAAAGCACUUUCAGUGGGGAAGAAAGCCUUGGGGCUAAUACCCUCGAGGAAGGACAUCACCCACAGAAGAAGCACCGGCUAACUCCGUGCCAGCAGCCGCGGUAAUACGGAGGGUGCGAGCGUUAAUCGGAAUUACUGGGCGUAAAGCGCGCGUAGGCGGUCUGAUAAGCCGGUUGUGAAAGCCCCGGGCUCAACCUGGGAACGGCAUCCGGAACUGUCAGGCUAGAGUGCAGGAGAGGAAGGUAGAAUUCCCGGUGUAGCGGUGAAAUGCGUAGAGAUCGGGAGGAAUACCAGUGGCGAAGGCGGCCUUCUGGACUGACACUGACGCUGAGGUGCGAAAGCGUGGGUAGCAAACAGGAUUAGAUACCCGAGUAGUC